rnacentral:rRNA from 1 species
GAUGAACGCUGGCGGCGUGCCUAAUACAUGCAAGUCGAGCGAACGGACGAGAAGCUUGCUUCUCUGAUGUUAGCGGCGGACGGGCGAGCAACACGUGGAUAACCUACCUAUAAGACUGGGAUAACUUCGGGAAACCGGAGCUAAUACCGGAUAAUAUUUUGAACCGCAUGGUUCAAAAGUAAAAGACGGUCUUGCUGUCACUUAUAGAUGGAUCCGCGCUGCAUUAGCUAGUUGGUAAGGUAACGGCUUACCAAGGCAACGAUGCAUAGCCGACCUGAGAGGGUGAUCGGCCACACUGGAACUGAGACACGGUCCAGACUCCUACGGGAGGCAGCAGUAGGGAAUCUUCCGCAAUGGGCGAAAGCCUGACGGAGCAACGCCGCGUGAGUGAUGAAGGUCUUCGGAUCGUAAAACUCUGUUAUUAGGGAAGAACAUAUGUGUAAGUAACUGUGCACAUCUUGACGGUACCUAAUCAGAAAGCCACGGCUAACUACGUG